UCCCCCUAAACGGCGAAUAGCAAUAUUGGGA
rnacentral:piRNA from 1 species